UGGGAGAAACAAAAGCGUGCGGGGGAGUAGCAGUGAUGACCUGUUUGUGAAGUGGAAAGCCACACAAGGGGUUGUGGUGUUCCACUGUUCACCAGGCCUAUGAAGGAGACACUGUGCAUUGGAAGGUGAAGGAGGCUGACAGGUGGUAUCCCUUUUACUCUAGCAGUGAUGGAGCCGAAUAGCACCAUGGCAGAUGUUGCACCUCUUUGAUUGCUUGUCAUCUUGAAGGAAGACAACAGUGUAACAAUGGAGCCACAAUGCAAUGGGAUUCCCAAUUCAGUGGAAGAGCUCAUCAAGGAAGUCAAGAAUGGAUGCGGGUUAGGAGGAUACAUAUGGUUACAGUACAAGGACACUAAUAUUGGGAACAUAUUUGUGAAUUUGACCUCUACAUCUGUAAAUAAGGAUCUUACAGUCCUUAUACUUUGAGAGACUCUCUCAGAUUUGAUCAGCUGGUCUCUCAACGCAAUUGACACCAUCUUCUCAACGAGAAACCUAGGUUCGGGGCAACCUAACUGUCCAGCAGGAACGUACGCAGCUGGCAUCACGAUGGACGGAUGGGAGAAGUGGAGGGUUGUGUGCCUGGAAGCUCUUUCCGUGGAGGACAUUGAAGACAUCUACCUAUUCGGAACCAUGAUUACAGGUAUUAUGCUGAUUGGAUUAGGCAUUGCCCUGGUUUAUCAAAGAUUGAAGAAAAUGGUGACAGCCGCUCAAAGCCCCACUAGGCUGGCCGGAAUGAUUGAUGGAGUGGGCAGAGCUGUUAGCACUCAGACUGGGACAAUUGAUCGCAAACUGGAUAACAUCAUGGAGAAGCUCACGGCUUUGCAAAAAUUAUUGGAUGGCGGAGACCAGCGUAGACAUUAGGGGAGCUGGAAAUUACAGCUUCUCGCCUGGAAACCCAAACAACCCCAUCCUAUCAGGUUUUGGCUCCCCCCAAUCAGCAUUGGCCUCGGCCAAGGCCGCUGCUGAACUAACAACUCCCCCAGAAGAACAAGGCAGUGAGACUCUCUUGCAUUCCUCUCCCCCAAUCCCAAAGACUACCGCACCCUCCCCCCAUCCCACACCUUCGC